UUCUGCAAUGGAAGGAUAUUGGGACCCUAAUCUAGAAAGAAGAUCGACGAGCUGAGAUUUGUUGAGAGGGUCAAGAAGAAAACGGAGGUGCUCUUGGGUUGUUGAGAAUUCAGCGCCUUUGCUUGCCUCCUCCAUCUUGAUCUUCCUCUUCUUCAAGUCUUCCAUUUCAGGCUUUCUCUUAGCUUCCUCUAUCUCUGUGCUAUGUAUGUGAAAGACUCGACGAGGGAGGUUUACACAGUCUUCAAACUGGGAGUAUCCGUGCGGUGAUUUUCGUUUCGAA
rnacentral:misc_RNA from 1 species